rnacentral:misc_RNA from 1 species
CUAGGGUUUAAAGGAUGAGAUAGAGAAGGAGGGAGAUCUGAUUUUGAGAGAGAAAAAUCAAUGGCGAAGUUGUGAUUGUUGAAGUGAGUGUCACUAAUUUUUAUUGAUUUGGGUUAAUUGCUAAUUGCAUUUCUUAAUUGAAAGUUUAGUAGAAAGAGGAAGCAAUCAAGAGAUCGUUCAUCCUUGUCCUUGGACAGUGGACAUUUUCCA